AUGGCCUGGAGCGGCACUGAACUAGUCCAAGCAGCGGGUCUUGGUGAUGUUCGAUGGGUCUCAUUUGUGGCCAUGGAACAGUGGCUCCGUGAUAACAAUAGAGCCAGAAGGAUUAAAGGCCAUGGCAGCAGCGAGAACUUGCAGGACGCAGGUGGAGGGGUGGAUGGCGACGGGCGGUGCAGGAGGGCAGCAGCAAGGAGGCGGUGGCGCGGCGGGAAGCAGCCAAAGGUGCACGGCUCGGUGACGAGGAGGACCAGUGGGUCCAGGGGUGGAGGUGACCAGCAGGAGGCGGCGGACGUGGGAAGCUCGCCGUGA
rnacentral:rRNA from 1 species